GGUACACACGUGCAGGGAGGCGGUGUAGAGCGGAGGGUGCAGGUGCUGUCCGGAAUGUUGGGGCGUAAACGGCUCGGAUGGGGUCCGGUACGUCGUCUGUGAAAACUGGGGGCUCAACCCCGAGCCUGCAGUGGAUACGGGCGGACUAGAGUGCGGUAGGGGAGACUGGAAUUCCUGGUGUAGCGGUGAAAUGCGCAGAUAUCAGGAGGAACACCGGUGGCGAAGGCGGGUCUCUGGACCGAUACUGACACUGAGGAGCGAAAGCGUGGGGAGCGAACAGGAUUAGAUACCCCAGUAGUC
rnacentral:rRNA from 1 species